UACGAAGGGGGCUAGCGUUGUUCGGAAUUACUGGGCGUAAAGGGCGCGUAGGCGGCGUGUCAAGUCAGGCGUGAAAGCCCGGGCUCAACCUGGGAACCGCGCUUGAGACUGGCAUGCUCGAGUUCGGGAGAGGAUGGUGGAAUUCCCAGUGUAGAGGUGAAAUUCGUAGAUAUUGGGAAGAACACCGAUGGCGAAGGCAGCCAUCUGGACCGACACUGACGCUGAGGCGCGAAAGCGUGGGGAGCAACAGGAUUAAGAUACCCGUUGU
rnacentral:rRNA from 1 species